GCGCCCAUGGCUCAACUGGAUAAAGCACUAGACUACGGAUCUAGCGAAUGGGAGUUCGAAUCUCUCUGGGCGUACCA
rnacentral:tRNA from 1 species